AAUCAACGCUGGCGGCGUGCCUAACACAUGCAAGUCGAACGCGAGAGGGGCUUCGGCCCCGAUUGAGUGGCGAACGGGUGAGUAACGCGUGGGUGACCUACCUUCGAGUGGGGGAUAACGUCCCGAAAGGGACGCUAAUACCGCAUAACAUCCUGCUUUUGAAUGGGUGGAGAUCAAAGCCGGGGAUCGCAAGACCUGGCGCUUGAUGAGGGGCCCGCGUCUGAUUAGCUAGUUGGNGAGGUAACGGCCCACCAAGGCAACGAUCAGUAUCCGGCCUGAGAGGGGCGGACGGACACACUGGGACUGAGACACGGCCCAGACUCCGUACGGGGAGCAGCAGUGGGGAAUUGUCGCAAUGGGCGCAAGCCUGACGACGCAACGCCGCGUGGAGGAUGAAGGUC
rnacentral:rRNA from 1 species